rnacentral:rRNA from 1 species
UACGAACCGUCCAAACGUUAUUCGGAUUUACUGGGCUUAAAGGGUAUGUAGGCGGCGCUUCAAGUCGGGUGUGAAAUCCCUCGGCUCAACCGAGGAACUGCGCCCGAUACUGGAGUGCUUGAGGGAGACAGAGGUAAGCGGAACUGAUGGUGGAGCGGUGAAAUGCGUUGAUAUCAUCAGGAACACCGGUGGCGAAAGCGGCUUACUGGGUCUCUUCUGACGCUGAGAUACGAAAGCUAGGGGAGCGAAGGGGAUUAGAUACCCCCGUAGUCCUAGCUGUAAACGUUGAGCACUUGAUUGAGGGCCCCCCCAUAGGCUCUCGGUCGAAGCGAAAGUGAUAAGUGCUCCGCCUGGGGAGUAUGGUCGCAAGGCUGAA